GUCACUUUUUUUCAGUGUUCUUUUAUUAUUAUUUUUUCUCCAAAUGUUAUUAAAUUGAAUAAAACACCCAAAUUCAAUAUAAGUAGUGGACUGAUCAUUUGUUGUACUUGCUAAACCCAAAUUUGUGAUAUAGAAACCUUUUGAAAAUGG